rnacentral:rRNA from 1 species
UAAGACGAGCCACACAAACGUUAUUCGGAAUUACUGGGCUUAAAGGGUGCGUAGGCGGCGCGGAAAGUUGGGUGUGAAAUCCCUCGGCUCAACCGAGGAAUUGCGCUCAAAACUACCGUGCUCGAGGGAGAUAGAGGAGUGCGGAACUUACGGUGGAGCGGUGAAAUGCGUUGAUAUCGUAGGGAACACCGGUGGCGAAAGCGGCACUCUGGAUCUCUUCUGACGCUGAUGCACGAAAGCUAGGGUAGCAAACGGG